UACGUAGGGUGCAAGCGUUAUCCGGAAUUAUUGGGCGUAAAGAGCUCGUAGGCGGUUUGUCGCGUCUGCCGUGAAAGUCCGGGGCUCAACUCCGGAUCUGCGGUGGGUACGGGCAGACUAGAGUGAUGUAGGGGAGACUGGAAUUCCUGGUGUAGCGGUGAAAUGCGCAGAUAUCAAGAGGAACACCAGUGGCGAAGGCGAGUCCCUGGACAAUACCUGACACUGAGGCACGAAAGCUAGGGGAGCAAACAGG
rnacentral:rRNA from 1 species